rnacentral:lncRNA from 1 species
CUUUCUCUGUUAGACCUACUAGACAUUGCCCUAGGCAAUGCUAGAGGACGGGCGCUCGUGCCCUCAUCCUCAGGUGGCACUCCAGUCAAUCUUGCUGAUCGACGAGUUCCUCUCAUCCUGUUUUCUGAAAAACAGUACACAUCACAUAAACAUUAGCAUCAUAUGGUUCAUGUGGGCACACAUGAACCCGCAUCACACAUCAUAGCAUAUCAUUAAUGCACAUGUAUAUAAUCAUGGCAUUUCACAUCAUCAUACAAGACAGGACUCCACAUCCUAUCCUAGUGGACAUGACCUUCCUAUUGUGCUUGACCUUCUAUAACAUCUAUGAGCCCG